CCCAAAUGCUGGGACCAGCUCCCCCAGGCUAAAGGAGACAAGUCUGGACCAGGACGAGAUCCCAGUAACAAUGCCGGCCGCCUGAGCUUCACACCAUGUACACAUACUGCUGCCUGGCGCCUGGGCAGGACGUCUGGCCUCUGCUGCAGCACCUCACCUACACCUACCUGCCCGCCCCUCCGCCGCUGCCCCCCAUUCAGGCCCACAACUUCUGCAGCCGGCCCCCGAGCCUGAGCGCGGGCGAGUGGACGGCUCCGCGGGAAUACCACUGCUUCCACGCCACGGGCGCGACGCUAGUGGUCACGCCGCCCUUGUGGGCCUUCCCGCAGGCCUACGCCGCGGCCCUGCAACCGCCGUUCCCAGCGCCCAGCUACCCAGGGCCGUCACUGCAGGAGCCCGCAGCUGCGGGGCUGGCGGCGGUCGAGAACGGGACGCAGUGGCCGGAAGGCGGCAGCCUGCAAGCUGAGCUGCGAUGGGGCCGCGUGGAGCGUGCGCUCGGGCCGCGCCUCGAGCUGCCGGACUUCGUGCGCCGGGAGCUGCGGCGAGCGUACGGCACGUACCCACGCACCGACGUGCGCGUCACCUAUCGCGGCGGCGAGUUCCUGCUGCAGGGCGCGCCGCGCGUGCGCGAGACCGAGUACCGUAUGGAGAGGCGAGUGCUCCGCCGGCCAGCCAGCAGCUGCAGCGGUGACAGCAGCCCCGCGGGGGAAGCGGCGGAGCGCGGCCGCCGGAAGAAGAGGAAAGACUUGAGCUGAGGGCGCCGCGAGGCCCGGCGGCCGGCCAGGGUUAUUGCUGGAUGGCGGGGCAAGGGCGAGAAUGGAUCAAGGACAUCUCUGGGUCCAGACCCUUGAAGUCUCUCAACUUACCCCAUCUUGGGACUUCCCUAGUGGCGCAGUGGUUAAGAAUCCGCCUGCCAAUGUAGGGGACAUGGGUUUGAGCCCUAGUCCGGGAAGAUCCCACAUGCUGUGGAGCAACUAAGUCCAUGCACCACAACUACUGAGCCUGCGCUCUAGAGCCCGCGAGCCACAACUACUGAGCCUGCACACCACAACUACUGAGCCUGCGAGCCACAACUACUGAGCCCACGUGCCUAGAGCCCGUGCUCUGCAACAAGAGAAGCAACUGCAGUGAGAAGCCCGCGCACCGCAACGCGAAGAGUAGCCCCCGCUCACUGCAACUAGAGAAAGAUUGCACGCAGCAAUGAAGACCCAACACAGCCAAAAUUAAUUAAUUAAUUUUAAAAAAAGAACUAAGUACACAUCCCCAAAAAUUCCAUUCACAGGAAUUUAAAAACAAAAAAACAAAAAAAACACUUCCCCCAUCUCUGAGAAUCCGCAUUGCUCACAUUCUUCCCCCAAGUCUUCCACAUAUGCCCUGGAAAUGCCCAGAGACUGCACACAAUAUACCCCUAUCCCCCAGCUCCAGUGAGGGAGGAGGCCCCCAAUUACAGGCUUUUUGAAGGAAGUACUGCCACUCAGCUCAGUCCAACAGGCCAAUCCUUCCAAACCCCAGUGCUUGCUUCAGCCCUAAGGAUGUAAGGAAGCCCUGCAGGGAGCCUAGAUGCUUCUUUGUUUGAUCUUUUCUUUGAACUUAACCCUUAGAAGCUUAGAACUCAUAAAACAUCUGGGCUGCCAGGGACUUUACUGUUCACCUGGCCCAACCUCCUCAGUUGACCUUACGCUGGGAAACCAAGGCCAGAGAGGAGUGACUCACCCAAUGUCACACAGUAGUUGGGAAUCCAGAGCUUCUAGAUCCCAGCAGGGAUUGGGCUACCAAACUCAUCUUGAUGGCCUUCUCCUCCUGGCCUCGCCCCAGCUUUACCCAACCCUGGCAUCUGGUCUAGAGCCCUUUGCUCAAUAAACCCUGACUGACCAAUUUUAAACCCUAGCCUACCUCCCAACUGGGUAGCUCACAUCCUACUGAAGGGAGGAUAAUAAGAAUCAUA